rnacentral:rRNA from 1 species
UGGGGGAUAUUGCACAAUGGGCGAAAGCCUGAUGCAGCGACGCCGCGUGGGGGAUGAAGGCCUUCGGGUUGUAAACUUCUUUUGCUCUGAACAAGGCGCACCAUGGGGUGUGUUGAGUGUAGGGGUUGAUUAGCGCCGGCUAACUACGUGCCAGCAGCCGCGGUAAUACGUAGGGCGCGAGCGUUGUCCGGAAUUAUUGGGCGUAAAGGGCUUGUAGGUGGCUGGUUGCGUCUGUCGUGAAAGCUCAUGGCUUAACUGUGGGUUUGCGGUGGGUACGGGCUGGCUUGAGUGCAGUAGGGGAGGCUGGAAUUCCUGGUGUAGCGGUGGGAUGCGCAGAUAUCAGGAGGAAUACCGGUGGCGAAGUCGGGUCUCUGGGCUGUUACUGACACUGAGGAGCGAAAGCAUGGGGAGCGAACAGG